UUAAGCGACUAAGCGUACACGGUGGAUGCCUAGGCAGUCAGAGGCGAUGAAGGGCGUGCUAAUCUGCGAAAAGCGUCGGUAAGGUGAUAUGAACCGUUACAACCGACGAUACCCGAAUGGGGAAACCCAGUGCAAUUCGUUGCACUAUUGCAUGGUGAAUACAUAGCCAUGCAAGGCGAACCGGGGGAACUGAAACAUCUAAGUACCCCAGAGGAAAAGAAAUCAACCGAGAUUCCCCUAGUAGCGGCGAGCGAACGGGGAGGAGCCCAGAGUCUGAAUCAGUUUGUGUGUUAGUGGAAGCGUCUGGAAAGUCGCACGGUACAGGGUGAUAGUCCCGUACACAAAAACACACUUGCUGUGAACUCGAUGAGUAGGGCGGGACACGUGACAUCCUGUCUGAAUAUGGGGGGACCAUCCUCCAAGGCUAAAUACUCCUGACUGACCGAUAGUGAACCAGUACCGUGAGGGAAAGGCGAAAAGAACCCCGGCGAGGGGAGUGAAAUAGAACCUGAAACCGUGUACGUACAAGCAGUGGGAGCACCUUCGUGGUGUGACUGCGUACCUUUUGUAUAAUGGGUCAGCGACUUAUAUUUUGUAGCAAGGUUAACCGAAUAGGGGAGCCGUAGGGAAACCGAGUCUUAACUGGGCGUCUAGUUGCAAGGUAUAGACCCGAAACCCGGUGAUCUAGCCAUGGGCAGGUUGAAGGUUGGGUAACACUAACUGGAGGACCGAACCGACUAAUGUUGAAAAAUUAGCGGAUGACUUGUGGCUGGGGGUGAAAGGCCAAUCAAACCGGGAGAUAGCUGGUUCUCCCCGAAAGCUAUUUAGGUAGCGCCUCGUGAACUCAUCUUCGGGGGUAGAGCACUGUUUCGGCUAGGGGGUCAUCCCGACUUACCAAACCGAUGCAAACUCCGAAUACCGAAGAAUGUUAUCACGGGAGACACACGGCGGGUGCUAACGUCCGUCGUGAAGAGGGAAACAACCCAGACCGCCAGCUAAGGUCCCAAAGUCAUGGUUAAGUGGGAAACGAUGUGGGAAGGCAUAGACAGCCAGGAUGUUGGCUUAGAAGCAGCCAUCAUUUAAAGAAAGCGUAAUAGCUCACUGGUCGAGUCGGCCUGCGCGGAAGAUGUAACGGGGCUAAACCAUGCACCGAAGCUGCGGCAGCGACACUUAGGUGUUGUUGGGUAGGGGAGCGUUCUGUAAGCCGUUGAAGGUGACCUGUGAGGGUUGCUGGAGGUAUCAGAAGUGCGAAUGCUGACAUAAGUAACGAUAAUGCGGGUGAAAAACCCGCACGCCGGAAGACCAAGGGUUCCUGUCCAACGUUAAUCGGGGCAGGGUGAGUCGACCCCUAAGGCGAGGCUGAAAAGCGUAGUCGAUGGGAAACAGGUUAAUAUUCCUGUACUUGGUGUUACUGCGAAGGGGGGACGGAGAAGGCUAGGCUAGCCGGGCGACGGUUGUCCCGGUUUAAGCAUGUAGGCGGAGCGACUUGGUAAAUCCGGUUGCUUAUCAACGCUGAGGUGUGAUGACGAGUCACUACGGUGAUGAAGUAGUUGAUGCCAAGCUUCCAGGAAAAGCCUCUAAGCAUCAGGUAACAUUAAAUCGUACCCCAAACCGACACAGGUGGUCAGGUAGAGAAUACUCAGGCGCUUGAGAGAACUCGGGUGAAGGAACUAGGCAAAAUGGUGCCGUAACUUCGGGAGAAGGCACGCUGGCAUUAGGUAAAGGGACUUGCUCCCGGCGCCGAAGCCAGUCGCAGAUACCAGCUGGCUGCAACUGUUUAAUAAAAACACAGCACUGUGCAAACACGAAAGUGGACGUAUACGGUGUGACGCCUGCCCGGUGCUGGAAGGUUAAUUGAUGGGGUCAGCCGCAAGGCGAAGCUCUUGAUCGAAGCCCCAGUAAACGGCGGCCGUAACUAUAACGGUCCUAAGGUAGCGAAAUUCCUUGUCGGGUAAGUUCCGACCUGCACGAAUGGCGUAAUGAUGGCCAGGCUGUCUCCACCCGAGACUCAGUGAAAUUGAACUCGCUGUGAAGAUGCAGUGUACCCGCGGCAAGACGGAAAGACCCCGUGAACCUUUACUAUAGCUUGACACUGAACAUUGAGCCUUGAUGUGUAGGAUAGGUGGGAGGCAUUGAAGUGUGGACGCCAGUCUGCAUGGAGCCAACCUUGAAAUACCACCCUUUAAUGUUUGAUGUUCUAACUCGGCCCCGUAAUCCGGGGUGAGGACAGUGUCUGGUGGGUAGUUUGACUGGGGCGGUCUCCUCCCAAAGAGUAACGGAGGAGCACGAAGGUUAGCUAAUCACGGUCGGACAUCGUGAGGUUAGUGCAAAGGCAUAAGCUAGCUUGACUGCGAGAGUGACGGCUCGAGCAGGUACGAAAGUAGGUCUUAGUGAUCCGGUGGUUCUGAAUGGAAGGGCCAUCGCUCAACGGAUAAAAGGUACUCCGGGGAUAACAGGCUGAUACCGCCCAAGAGUUCAUAUCGACGGCGGUGUUUGGCACCUCGAUGUCGGCUCAUCACAUCCUGGGGCUGAAGUAGGUCCCAAGGGUAUGGCUGUUCGCCAUUUAAAGUGGUACGCGAGCUGGGUUUAGAACGUCGUGAGACAGUUCGGUCCCUAUCUGCCGUGGGCGUUGGAAGAUUGAGAGGGGCUGCUCCUAGUACGAGAGGACCGGAGUGGACGAAUCACUGGUGUUCGGGUUGUCAUGCCAAUGGCAUUGCCCGGUAGCUAAAUUCGGAAGAGAUAACCGCUGAAAGCAUCUAAGCGGGAAACUUGCCUCGAGAUGAGUCUUCCCUGGGGCUUUAAGCCCCCUGAAGGAACGUUAAAGACUAUGACGUUGAUAGGCUGGGUGUGUAAGUGCAGCGAUGCAUUGAGCUAACCAGUACUAAUGAUCCGUGAGGCUUAACCUU
rnacentral:rRNA from 1 species